ensembl:lncRNA
AUAAAAUAAUGUCGGUAGCACAUAGAAAAAGGCAUUGUGAGAUCAUGGACGACCUCAAAGCCGCCGCUGACCCCGCCAGUUCUCUCAGCCCCUCGGAGGUGGUCAGUGCCUCAAUUUUGUGUUUAUUGUUCCUUUGCUUUAACUCUUAAUUCAGGUGUCACUGAUCCGCAGUUAGUGCGCUAAUCUUUUUACUUUUUUAAUGUUUAUUUACUUUUGAGAGAGAGAGAGACACACACAGCAUGAGUGCAGGAGGGGCAAAGAGAGGGGGAGACACAGAAUCCGAAGCGGGCUCCAGGCUCCGAGCUGUCAGCACAGAGCCCGACGCGGGGCUCGAACUCACAAACCAUGAGAUCACGACCUGGGCUGAAGUCGGAUGCUUUAACCAACGGAGCCCCCUAGGCGCCCCAGUGCACUGAUCCUGAGGAUAAGUUUCACAGACGUGUUCAGUGUAACCCGUGCUCUCUGCAAGACGCAGGGUUUUCCCGGACCCCAGAAGCUCUUGGGUGCCCUCAUCACUCCCUGCCGGAGAACUAUCGUGGCCUCUUUCUCUGUAGGUGAGGGUUACCUGGUCUUGGGCUUUGGAAAAGUGGGUCGUACGGAGCCCACUGUGCCUGGCGCCUUCCAGAGAGCAUCACGUCUGUCAGAUGCACCCACGAAGUCACGUCACUCGCUGGCUGCCGCAAAGCAACGCUCGCCUCUGUGAGUCAUGGUUUUCCCGGUUUUGACCGUCUUGUAACAAGAGCACAUGUGGCCUUCCGCCCGCUCUCCUCAUGCCACGUGGUGUGGACAAGCCCCGUGUCUGCCGCCUCCCAUGGCGGCUCGUCAGCCGGGCACCUCCUGUCCCCUCUUCUGUGACGCGUCUACUGUGUCCCGGCCCGCCAGGCCACGAUGGAGGAGAUCGCCUGGAACACGCCUGGAAUGGAGUGGGUGCUAGGCAAACAGCCGGGCGGUGAGUGGACGUGCGGAGGUGUGUCUGCCGGACGCACGCGGCCAACACUUCUUGAGGCCUCAGGACCUUUGCUCGGCACCAGGCGGAGUGGAAGCCCACAGGCCGCUCACAAUGGCCCCUUGAUGUGCAUGUGGAAGAGGAGGCUGGAAAUCGAAGCUCCCGUUUGGGGUGUGUUGGAGGUGACCGGCCCCUGUGCUGUGCUGGAGGUCCUCCUUGCCGGGCUGCUCGCCGUGUCCGUGGGUCCGUGUGCUCGGGUGUGCUCGGGUUGUUCUGACCGUGGCACCUGGGGAGGACGGUCCUGGGUCGUCCCUUCGCCCGGUUUCACCCUGCGGACCGAGUGUAGGGCUGCGCGAGACAACACCGGCGUCUGGGCCGGAGAACGGCUUAGCGGGUGCCCUGCUUUCCAAACCGCUAAGCGCGUUCUCCAACCUCCCCCCGCCGAAAGCCCCUUUUCAUCUCCUCUCUGGUUCCCCCGCAGACAAGUGAUAACUUUGGCACGUGGUCCAGAUCAACCUGCGGGAGACGUGGCUUUCACGGGGGUGGCGGCCGAGCCCCCGUCCAGCCCCGGCCCAGCCUCGCUGCCGAGUCCACACCCGGACAGCCCCGGACUGACCCGGGACAGGGCCCAUCUCCUCCUCCCUGCUCCUCCCUGGACCAAGGCAGGCCUGCAGGCCCGGGGUCUCAGACCCACUGCCUCAGGAGCUCGGCAGGGGCCUGUGUAG